rnacentral:lncRNA from 1 species
GGUCAGCCGUGGCUGCAGGGAUUGGAAGCUUUCUGGGUGAGGGCAUCUGCCCACACAGAUUGCUUGCUAGAGGCUGUAGGCAGGAGGCCUCAGUGUCUCACCAUACAGAGAUCUCCACACAGCUGCUUGCUCAUCCUCUUGACAUGGCAGCUGACUUCCCCCAGAGCAAGUGACCCCUGAAAGCAAGACAAAGCUGGAAGCAUCUUUUAUCACCUAGCCUCAGAAGCUACUCUCUGUUACUUGUGCAACGUUCCAUUCUGCUGAGGAUACAAAUCAGCCCAACUCAGUGUGGAAGAGGACAUAUAUCAGCGGUCUACCACAAUGGCUUACUCAUUCAUUCUAUGAAGGGCUUUGGGGUUUUGAGUGUCUAAUUAAGUAUUAGAGCCUGGUGGUACCACAGUGGAGUCAUACCCAUAAGAAGAUGAGGUCCCUCUGCUCCUGGAGAUCAACUUCCAGAAGAGGAGUAGAGAGACCCUAUAAAGAAAAUCACCUGGAAUAAUGCAUCCUGAAAUGAUCUAAACAAAGUCAAAGAUGGCAUC